GACGAACGCUGGCGGCGUGCUUAACACAUGCAAGUCGAACGAUGAAGCCUAGCUUGCUAGGUGGAUUAGUGGCGAACGGGUGAGUAAUACGUGAGUGACCUACCUUUGACUCUGGGAUAAGCCUGGGAAACUGGGUCUAAUACCGGAUACGACCAAUCUCCGCAUGGGGUGUUGGUGGAAAGCGUUAUGGAGUGGUUUUAGAUGGGCUCACGGCCUAUCAGCUUGUUGGUGAGGUAAUGGCUUACCAAGGCGACGACGGGUAGCCGGCCUGAGAGGGUGACCGGCCACACUGGGACUGAGACACGGCCCAGACUCCUACGGGAGGCAGCAGUGGGGAAUAUUGCACAAUGGGCGCAAGCCUGAUGCAAGCGACGCCGCCGUGAAGGGA
rnacentral:rRNA from 1 species